UAAGUUAGAAAGGGCGCACGGUGGAUGCCUUGACACUAGGAGUCGAUGAAGGACGGGACUAACGCCGAUAUGCUUCGGGGAGCUGUAAGUAAGCUUUGAUCCGAAGAUUUCCGAAUGGGGAAACCCACCAUACGUAAUGGUAUGGUAUCCUUAUCUGAAUACAUAGGGUAAGGAAGACAGACCCAGGGAACUGAAACAUCUAAGUACCUGGAGGAAGAGAAAGCAAAUGCGAUUUCCUGAGUAGCGGCGAGCGAAACGGAACAUAGCCCAAACCAAGAGGCUUGCCUCUUGGGGUUGUAGGUACAUUCUAUACGGAGUUACAAAGGAACGAGGUAGACGAAGCGACCUGGAAAGGUCCGUCGUAGAGGGUAACAACCCCGUAGUCGAAACUUCGUUCUCUCUUGAAUGUAUCCUGAGUACGGCGGAACACGUGAAAUUCCGUCGGAAUCUUGGGAGGACCAUCUCCCAAGGCUAAAUACUCCCUAGUGAUCGAUAGUGAACCAGUACCGUGAGGGAAAGGUGAAAAGCACCCCGGAAGGGGAGUGAAAGAGAUCCUGAAACCGUGUGCCUACAAAUAGUCAGAGCCCGUUAAUGGGUGAUGGCGUGCCUUUUGUAGAAUGAACCGGCGAGUUACGAUCCCGUGCGAGGUUAAGCUGAAGAGGCGGAGCCGCAGCGAAAGCGAGUCUGAAUAGGGCGUUUAGUACGUGGUCGUAGACCCGAAACCAGGUGAUCUACCCAUGUCCAGGGUGAAGUUCAGGUAACACUGAAUGGAGGCCCGAACCCACGCACGUUGAAAAGUGCGGGGAUGAGGUGUGGGUAGCGGAGAAAUUCCAAUCGAACCUGGAGAUAGCUGGUUCUCCCCGAAAUAGCUUUAGGGCUAGCCUUAAGUGUAAGAGUCUUGGAGGUAGAGCACUGAUUGGACUAGGGGUCCUCAUCGGAUUACCGAAUUCAGUCAAACUCCGAAUGCCAAUGACUUAUCCUUAGGAGUCAGACUGCGAGUGAUAAGAUCCGUAGUCAAAAGGGAAACAGCCCAGACCGCCAGCUAAGGUCCCAAAGUGUGUAUUAAGUGGAAAAGGAUGUGGAGUUGCUUAGACAACUAGGAUGUUGGCUUAGAAGCAGCCACCAUUUAAAGAGUGCGUAAUAGCUCACUAGUCGAGUGACUCUGCGCCGAAAAUGUACCGGGGCUAAAUACACCACCGAAGCUGCGGAUUGAUACCAAUGGUAUCAGUGGUAGGGGAGCGUUCUAAGGACAGUGAAGUCAGACCGGAAGGACUGGUGGAGUGCUUAGAAGUGAGAAUGCCGGUAUGAGUAGCGAAAGACGGGUGAGAAUCCCGUCCACCGAAUGCCUAAGGUUUCCUGAGGAAGGCUCGUCCGCUCAGGGUUAGUCAGGACCUAAGCCGAGGCCGACAGGCGUAGGCGAUGGACAACAGGUUGAUAUUCCUGUACCACCUCUUUAUCGUUUGAGCAAUGGAGGGACGCAGAAGGAUAGAAGAAGCGUGCGAUUGGUUGUGCACGUCCAAGCAGUUAGGCUGAUAAGUAGGCAAAUCCGCUUAUCGUGAAGGCUGAGCUGUGAUGGGGAAGCUCCUUAUGGAGCGAAGUCUUUGAUUCCCCGCUGCCAAGAAAAGCUUCUAGCGAGAUAAAAGGUGCCUGUACCGCAAACCGACACAGGUAGGCGAGGAGAGAAUCCUAAGGUGUGCGAGAGAACUCUGGUUAAGGAACUCGGCAAAAUGACCCCGUAACUUCGGGAGAAGGGGUGCUUUCUUAACGGAAAGCCGCAGUGAAUAGGCCCAAGCGACUGUUUAGCAAAAACACAGCUCUCUGCGAAGCCGUAAGGCGAAGUAUAGGGGGUGACACCUGCCCGGUGCUGGAAGGUUAAGGAGAGGGGUUAGCGUAAGCGAAGCUCUGAACUGAAGCCCCAGUAAACGGCGGCCGUAACUAUAACGGUCCUAAGGUAGCGAAAUUCCUUGUCGGGUAAGUUCCGACCCGCACGAAAGGUGUAACGAUUUGGGCACUGUCUCAACCAGAGACUCGGUGAAAUUAUAGUACCUGUGAAGAUGCAGGUUACCCGCGACAGGACGGAAAGACCCCGUGGAGCUUUACUGUAGCCUGAUAUUGAAUUUUGGUACAGUUUGUACAGGAUAGGCGGGAGCCUUUGAAACCGGAGCGCUAGCUUCGGUGGAGGCGCUGGUGGGAUACCGCCCUGACUGUAUUGAAAUUCUAACCUACGGGUCUUAUCGACCCGGGAGACAGUGUCAGGUGGGCAGUUUGACUGGGGCGGUCGCCUCCUAAAGUGUAACGGAGGCGCCCAAAGGUUCCCUCAGAAUGGUUGGAAAUCAUUCGUAGAGUGCAAAGGCAUAAGGGAGCUUGACUGCGAGACCUACAAGUCGAGCAGGGACGAAAGUCGGGCUUAGUGAUCCGGUGGUUCCGCAUGGAAGGGCCAUCGCUCAACGGAUAAAAGCUACCCCGGGGAUAACAGGCUUAUCUCCCCCAAGAGUCCACAUCGACGGGGAGGUUUGGCACCUCGAUGUCGGCUCAUCGCAUCCUGGGGCUGUAGUCGGUCCCAAGGGUUGGGCUGUUCGCCCAUUAAAGCGGUACGCGAGCUGGGUUCAGAACGUCGUGAGACAGUUCGGUCCCUAUCCGUCGUGGGCGUAGGAAAUUUGAGAGGAGCCGUCCUUAGUACGAGAGGACCGGGAUGGACGCACCGCUGGUGUACCAGUUGUUCUGCCAAGGGCAUAGCUGGGUAGCUAUGUGCGGAAGGGAUAAGUGCUGAAAGCAUCUAAGCAUGAAGCCCCCCUCAAGAUGAGAUUUCCCAUAGCGUAAGCUAGUAAGAUCCCUGAAAGAUGAUCAGGUUGAUAGGUUCGAGGUGGAAGCAUGGUGACAUGUGGAGCUGACGAAUACUAAUAGAUCGAGGACUUAACCA
rnacentral:rRNA from 1 species